rnacentral:rRNA from 1 species
AUUGAACGCUGGCGGUAUGCCUAACACAUGCAAGUCGAACGAGGUAGCAAUACCUAGUGGCGGACGGGUGAGGAAUACGUAGGGAUCUGCCCUUAAGUGGGGAUAACCCGGGGAAACCCGGAUUAAUACCGCAUGAUCUCGCAAGAGCAAAGAGGGGGACCGCAAGGCCUCUCGCUUUUGGAGGAACCUACGUCGGAUUAGCUAGUUGGUGAGGUAAUGGCUCACCAAGGCGACGAUCCGUAACUGGUCUGAGAGGAUGAUCAGUCACACCGGAACUGAGACACGGUCCGGACUCCUACGGGAGGCAGCAGUGGGGAAUAUUGGACAAUGGGCGAAAGCCUGAUCCAGCAAUACCGCGUGUGUGAAGAAGGCCUCGGUUGU